rnacentral:rRNA from 1 species
AGUGAACGCUGGCGGUAGGCCUAACACAUGCAAGUCGAACGGCAGCACAGUAAGAGCUUGCUCUUACGGGUGGCGAGUGGCGGACGGGUGAGGAAUACAUCGGCAUCUACUUUUUCGUGGGGGAUAACGUAGGGAAACUUACGCUAAUACCGCAUACGACCUACGGGUGAAAGCAGGGGAUCUUCGGACCUUGCGCGAUUGAAUGAGCCGAUGUCGGAUUAGCUAGUUGGCGGGGUAAAGGCCCACCAAGGCGACGAUCCGUAGCUGGUCUGAGAGGAUGAUCAGCCACACUGGAACUGAGACACGGUCCAGACUCCUACGGGAGGCAGCAGUGGGGAAUAUUGGACAAUGGGCGCAAGCCUGAUCCAGCCAUACCGCGUGGGUGAAGAAGGCCUUCGGGUUGUAAAGCCCUUUUGUUGGGAAAGAAAAGCAGCAGGUGAAUACCCCGCUGUUCUGACGGUACCCAAAGAAUAAGCACCGGCUAACUUCGUG